AGUAAAGUGAUGAGCUCAGAUGAGGAUCACUGCUGUGUGCCUAUUGCCUUUGCCAUGAUACUUUGGUGAAAGUGAAGUCAGGUCUCAGGCAAGCUUCCAAGCCUACUCAGUGUAAACACACCAAGGAUGAAGACCUCUAUGAUGAUCCACUUAAUGAACGGGUUUCUCAACUGCUGGGAAACUGUGGCAGUUUCUCCAGGAUACAGUGGCUAAUGGAAAGCCCUGCAUCUGGACAGGCUGUGGGACUAGUUCUCACCAGUGGAUCAUGAGGGAAUGUCUUUAUCACCCUCAGACCAAUAUUGUUAAGAAGCCAGUGCAACUCUUCUGCCCUUUCUUUCCCCUUCCAGCAACUGGAAGCAGGACUUCACAGGUUUAGGAUGUGGGAGAAUCUCAAGAGUCAAGGACCGUGGACCCUUCAGCAUAUGGAGAAAAGCUACCUGGGUGCCGGGAACAUCCACAUUAGAGUGCUAAUGAAAAAGCAGUGCUCAGAAUUGCCAUGCUGGGCUUUGUUACUAUUCCUACUAGCACCCUAUGUAAAAAUACUGUUUUCUAGGCAACAUAAUUUCUAAUUCAGUGCUCCCUAACAGAACUUUCUGCAAUGAUGGAAAAGUUUCUGCAUGUCCUCCACAGCAGCCAUGAACCACUUCUGA